GGCCUGAGUGCGCGUUCUUCCUUUCUUGGCCACGCCUGCUGGCGCGCGAUCUCGGCCGAGGUAGUGGUUCUCGCGAUAUCCUCGCCCCCUGCUGGUGACGCGAGACUUUCUGAGUAGGCGGGGAGGACUGAGUCUUGGUCUCGCUUCGCCUGUUUUGCACCCGGCGUGUGACGAGUCGUGCGACCCAUCUCCGAGGAAAAGCAAAACAAACAUGGGAGAGUGGUGAACAGUGGAUAAGGGAAGAAAUCAUGUCAGUUUCUCAAUCUUAAUGACUCUCCUCACUCUCCUUCAAUAAUCUCAAAGCUGAGUCCAGGAGUCCCCGAAAUUAAAGAGAAUGGAGUCAGGUGGUCAGACUCAACUGAAGAAAGGAAGCCCGGAACAGGGUAAGAAGGAGGACCAAGAAGCCUUAGGACCCGAGGCUGAGACAGGGAGGGAAGAGUGAGGGUGCAGGGAGACAGACUCCAAACCCGGAGAGGGGAACUUGGCAUUUAGGUUUGGGAUGAACGGAGGGAAAAGAGGCUAGGGUUGCCAGAUUCCUAUCCUGGGAGAUGAAUGUAGUAAUUGC